rnacentral:rRNA from 1 species
UACAGAGGGUGCAAGCGUUAAUCGGAGUUACUGGGCGUAAAGGGCGCGUAGGCGGUUUUUUAAGUGAGAUGUGAAAUCCCUGGGCUUAACCUAGGAACUGCAUCUUAUACUGGGAGACUGGAGUACUGUAGAGGGUAGUGGAAUUUCCGGUGUAGCGGUGAAAUGCGUAGAGAUCGGAAGGAACACCAGUGGCGAAGGCGGCUACCUGGACAGAUACUGACGCUGAGGCGCGAGAGCGUGGGGAGCAAACAGG